rnacentral:rRNA from 1 species
CCUUGUAACGGCGUAGUGAACAGCAAUAGCUCAAAUUUGAAAUCUGGCGUCUUCGARGUCCGAGUUGUAAUUUGUAGAGGAUGCUUCUGAGUAACCACCGACCUAAGUUCCUUGGAACAGGACGUCAUAGAGGGUGAGAAUCCCGUAUGCGGUCGGAAGGGCCAUACGUAGCUCCUCGACGAGUCGAGUGUUUGGAAGCAGCUCUAAUGGGAGGUAAAUUCUUCUAAGCUAAAUAUUGGCCAGAGACCGAUAGCGCACAAGUAGAGUGUCGAAAAUGAAAAGCACUUUGGAAAGAGAGUUAAAAAGCACGUGAAAUUGUUAAAAGGGAAGGGAUUGCAACCAGACUUGCUCGCGGUGUUCCGCCGGUCUUCUGACCGGUCUACUCGCCGCGUUGCAGGCCAGCAUCGUCUGGUGCCGCUGGUAAAGACUUGAGGAAUGUAGCUCCCUCGGGAGUGUUAUAGCCUCUUGGAUGGAGCGAGCGCCGGGCGAGUCCGCGCUCGGUAGAAGCUGCGUAAGGUCGAUCCGCCUCCG